GUGCCGUGACGGGGGUUAAACCUAAGGUACGAUACACACGAGGCAAAGUCGCGCCGCGCCGCGCCGCGCAGUCUCGACUCCGAUUGGCCGACGAGAAAUCCGCGCCAACGAGCAGAGACCAGUUGAGCGCGAGACUCCGAGCCGAACGGUUGUACGCACGGACGCAGCCCGGCACCCGAAUCUACGAUAUCGUACGACGCAUUUCGUAAAUUAAUUUCCUCUUUUCGAGAUAUUUGUCAUUGUUCCGUUGCUGCCCCAUUUUGCGAAAGGGUUAUACAUAUUAUUCACGCAUAUUUCGGACUUGUGACAAGUGACACGUAAUCGCAUCAGUGGUGAUUAUCUACGUGACUGCCAAUCAUCAUUCCAGUGUGGACUCUUGUGGAUUUCUUCGAGUUUUCUUCAAAGGAGUUCGAGUGGCAGGGAGCAUCGUGUCGUCUUACGGUGAUGCAUCACUGUCGCGAGGAACGAAGGAACGAGUGGCA